rnacentral:rRNA from 1 species
CCUACGGGUGGCAGCAGUGGGGCAUAUUUGGCAAUGGAGGAAACUCUGACCCAGCAACGCCGCGUGAAUGAUGAAGGUCUUUGGAUUGUAAAGUUCUUUUCUAAGGGAAGAAGAAAGUGACGGUACCUUAGGAAUAAGCCUCGGCUAACUACGUGACAGCAGCCGCGGUAAUACUUCGGAGGCGAGCGUUAUUCGUCAUGACUGGGCGUAAAGGGUGCGUAGGUGGGUGGGCAAGUUAGUAGCGUAACUCCAAGGCUCAACCUUGGAACUACUACUAAAACUGUUGGACUUGAGUGCAGGAGGGGGAACCGGAAUUCCGAGUGUAGCGGUGGAAUGCGUAGAUAUUAGGAGGAACACCAGUGGCGAAGGCGGGUUGCUAGACUGUAACUGACGCUGAGGCACGAAAGCGAGGGGAGCGAAAGGGAUUAGAUACCCGGGUAGUC